rnacentral:rRNA from 1 species
CACAUGCAAGUCGAGGGGUAUAUGUCUUCGGAUAUAGAGACCGGCGCACGGGUGCGUAGCGCGUAUGCAAUCUACCUUUUACAGAGGGAUAGCCCAGAGAAAUUUGGAUUAAUACCUCAUAGUAUAGCUCUACCGCAUGGUAGUACUAUUAAAGUCACAACGGUAAAAGAUGAGCAUGCGUCCCAUUAGCUAGUUGGUAAGGUAACGGCUUACCAAGGCAACGAUGGGUAGGGGUCCUGAGAGGGAGAUCCCCCACACUGGUACUGAGACACGGACCAGACUCCUACGGGAGGCAGCAGUGAGGAAUAUUGGACAAUGGGCGCAAGCCUGAUCCAGCCAUGCCGCGUGCAGGAUGACGGUCCUAUGGAUUGUAAACUGCUUUUGUACGAGAAGAAACACUGCUUCGUGAAGCAGCUUGACGGUAUCGUAAGAAUAAGGAUCGGCUAACUCCGUGCCAGCAGCCGCGGUAAUACGGAGGAUCCAAGCGUUAUCCGGAAUCAUUGGGUUUAAAGGGUCCGUAGGCGGUUUAGUAAGUCAGUGGUGAAAGCCCAUCGCUCAACGGUGGAACGGCCAUUGAUACUGCUGAACUUGAAUUAUUAGGAAGUAACUAGAAUAUGUAG